GAAGCCUCAGGUGUAAUUACAUUUGAAGAAUCGUUCGAAGUUAAAACUCAAACGACUAAGAGACAAAGGCAAGUUUUUUAACCGAACCUAACAGUGCAACCAGUUAAUUGAUGUCAGUCCUUAUAUUGACUUUUUUUCUAGAUCUAGACAAAGAAAGACUUGGAUGGCUGAAUAAUGCCUGGUUAUAUAGGUUUUAACAUUACUUAUAUUGACUUUUUCUGAUUCCUUUCUCUAGUUGGCCUAUUACUUGCCAAUGCAUGUGCCUGUAGCAGUUAAAAUAACAAGAAUAUUAAUCAAAGUGGGUUUAAGGUUUUAAUGAAGUAAUGAUUCUACACGAGGGUGGAGGAUGAUUUUUUUUCUCAAACUAGUAUUGUAGUGCAUAGGUCAAUGUGCUAAAUCUGACUGUAUUUUAUUUGGCUUCCUCUUUCCAAGUGUGAAUUUUUAUCUUGUUUUUGCAUUAUGCUUUAAAACCAUUUUCCAAGUUGUUUACCAUAAAAGUUUCAAGUUUUCAAUGAAAAUAUUUGUGAAAAAAUACUGCUCACAAAUUUACAAAGUGUUCUUUGAAAAUAAAAAAUUAAAAUUUGUGGUGUCUGUUGUGUAGGUUUGGUUUUAAAAGCAAAAGAAAAUCUUCCAAACUAUCGACUUCUGCACCGGUGGAUGCUAUGGUGGAAUGAUUGCCAAGAAAAAUUACUUCUAAAUCCCUGAUUGUCUCGUGCUUAGGUAUCAGUACAGGU
rnacentral:lncRNA from 1 species